AAUCAUGCCACUGCACUCCAGCCUUGGCAACAGAGCAAGAUGCUCUCUCUCUCUCUCUCUCUUUUUUAAAUGAUCAGUUUAGUGAUAACAGAGUGGAAACCACAUAUAAAUAAACUUUAUUACAAUAAUGUGUCCUCUACUAAUGAAAGUUAAGAUUUAUCUAACAUCUCUUAUGAACCAGCCCCUAUGCUAAGUGUUUCAUGUAAUUAUCUCAUAUAAUCUUUACCACAGCCUUUUAAGUUAGGUGCUGUUAUUAUAACCAUUUUACAGAUGAGGAAAUUGAGGCUCCGAAAGGUAAACUGUUUUGCCCAACAAUAUAUAGCUACAUGGUGAUAGAACUAGUGUUUGAAAGUUGGGCGGUCCGACUGUAAAAUCUCUUUCCUAAUCACUGUUCUAAUUGGUGCACAGAUUAUUAGAGUUAGACCUUAGUUGAACUUCCUAUUUUAGACAGAUGGAAGCAGAGGCCCUAGCAGAUUAAGGAUCUGCUUAACGUCUUCACCAACAGAAUGAGACUUGCUUCUACAUUGCCUCUCAACUGGAGAAGAGCUGGAAUGAGUCUUUUGAUUUUCGCCUAUAGAUUUACAGAAGAAUAUCUUUUGAGAAUUUGAGUAGAGAAUAUCCAUGCCAUGUAAAGUGGAAUCUUGACAAACUUGUACUCAUGAACCCCGUUAUGAGGUUGUCUAUUCAACCAUAAGAAACAUUUCUAAGUGACUAAAAACUAGCCAUAUUCUAGUAGGAGUCCCCUAUUCUACCUAGGUCUGUUCUGAUAAGAGAAACCUGGAGCAAUCUGUUUCAAAACAAUAAAUUUAUCUGAAGCUUCCAGAGGAGUCAUCUUUGAAAAACUCAUAAGCAAGGAGUUAACUGUUGUAAUAAGCCGAUGGUAAUAGUGCAGGUUUUAUUACUUUUGUUUUGGUUGGUUUUCUUUUCUUCUUUUUUUCUUUUUUGAGUUCAAUAAACCACACUGAAUGUUAAUAAUCCAUUAGUUCUAGAGGAAACAUUUUUAGCUCCAAGAAAAUUACUUUUUCCUCCCAAAUCUGAACCUGUAAACACCAAAGCUCUUUGUCUUAUAAAAAGGCUUAGCGUUAGUUGUUUCAACAAGAUUAGCCCUGUUGAUCUGAAGCACCUGUGCUUCCAGAAAAUGUAGGACAUUAUCAAUUUUUAACAUUUGUCCAGGAAGCUGUGCUUGGACUAAUGUUAUUUAUCCAGCUGGGUAUACUGACUAGGACAGAGCAGAUGAAAGUAGUUGGGGAUUGUGUAACAUCUAAGAUUGGCCCUGAUAAUCAAUCCAGCCUGGAGCACAUGGACAUGAUUACAAAAUACCAUCUUCCCUUUUUUUCAGGAUACUGAUAAAACAGAAGGCAGUGCUAUCUGCCAUAAUCCACUUCAAGAAUUCUGCGGACCUGUUUUUAGGUCACUUAGUUGUUCUGCUUAGUUUUCUGGAUGGUGAGCACACAGAAGGCACAAGAUGAAAACUCUAACACACAAUUUGCAUCAAUGACACCCUUGGGGUUGUUAAAAGAACAAAUAAAAAGGGGUGUGGGAGGAGGUCUGUGGAACUGUGUGCGCCACCUCCGUAUGGGCUUACUUUGGCCUUCUCCAGGGAGGAACUCUGUGCAACUGCAUCCCCAUUCCUGUCCCCUCCGCCUGCACACACUGGAAUAGCAAGAAGGCAGCAGAGAGCACACAAAAAGACACUCAGUAGGGGAAACAGUCCCACUGUUUAACCUUGGGUGUUCAAUGAACACAGUAGGGCUGGGGGCGGGAGGGCCAAAACAGGAAGAGGAAAAAUACAAGAUGGUUUGGUAAGAAAGCAAAAAUAGAAAGAGUCCCAAAUUUUUAAAAAUAAAAAUAAAAUCAAAACCAAAAACCACAGGCUGCAUUUAUCUGAGAAGCGAGAAAGUGAAGGAAGCAAUUUAAACUAGAACGAUGCAAAAGUGGCAGGCGGCACAGGGAGCUCCCACUGCCUUCCCCAGCAGGACUGCAAGGGUGGGAGGAUCCAUUCAAACCAAGCACCUCCAAGCUUGGCAAAGGAUUGCUCUCUGAAUGACGCCAGGCCUCACCCAGCUGCUUGGAAACAAGCUUGCAUGAAGGUAGGAGGGAAAGGAUUGCAGAGAACCUGCUGGCGUGCUUCUUCCCUAUCUGAGUUUGAAUGCUUCUCAGAGAACUUUAAAGGCUGACGGCUAAAUUUAAUCAGAGUUAAAUCAUUGAAAUGAAGAUGUUCUCAUGCAAUACAAAUGAAAAGUGAUUCUGCCAGUGCUUUCCCUAUAAGGCAAUGAAUGGUACAGGCUCCUAAGGAGCAGCCCAGCAGUUUGGAAAUGUUAUGAAUUCAGGGGAGGCAGGAAAUGUGAAAGUCUGGUUCAUUGCUACUAUUGUCUUCCGGGGAUUUUUGGCCUGGAGGUGAAACAGGCAGGGUUUUACAGCUGGUAUUGUGCAAUGACUGAGCACUUGCUCGCUCCCAGUUCAGUAAAAUUCUUCAUACAUGGCAUCCUAACUACAUUAUUUCAGACAGCUGUUUUCUCUAAGGAACUCCAAAUAUUUUCUGCAAAGGCACUUACAUAAACCUUACAACCGUGGACUUAGACUGAAUGAAACAUUAGUUUGUUGUUUCAAGACAGUUUGGCAAUCUGAUUUGUGCCAGUUUAAUCAUUUUAGAAAAUGUACAGGUCCAGUUCUGGUUCAGACUGGCUUAUCUUCACAUGAUUUAUUUUCCAUAAAAGUAAAUGUUAAAUCAUAGUGAUAAGUCAUGUAUGCUUGAUACAAUGUGACGAGAAGAGCACUUUACCUCUGUAAGCUGUGCUUCCAAAAACCCGUAACUCCUGUCUAACCACAGGAAGAACAUUAAAUAAACCCAAAUUGAAAAACAUUCUACAGAUUACCUCACUAGUUCUCCCCAGGGUCAUCCCAAACCAGGAAAGUCUGGAAAACUGUCACAGUCCAGAGAAGCCUAAAGAGACAUGACAACUAAAUGUAAUGCAGUAUCCUGUUGAUACAUUGCUAUUGACCUUUCCUGGAACAGGAAAGGAUGCGGGGGAGAGACCAAGGCAAUCUGAAUAAAGUAUGGUCUGCAGUCAAUAGUAAUGUAUCAAUUUUGGUUCCUUAAUUGUGACAAGUAUACAUAAUAUAGGAUGUUGACAAUAAGCAAACUAGAUGUGCAAUACAUGGAAACCUUCUAUAUUCACAACUUUUCUACAGAUCUAAACUAGUCUAAAAUUAAAUGCUUAUUAAAAAAUAAAUGUCACACCUGUAAUCCCAACCCUUUGGGAGGCCAAGGCAGGAGGAUCGCUUGAGCUCAGGAGUUUGAGACCAGCCUGUGCAACAUGGUGAAACCCUGUCUCUACAAAAAAUACAAAAGUUAGCUGGGUAUGGUGGUGCACGCCUGUAGUCCCAGCUACUCUGGAGGUUGAGGUGGGAGGAUGGUUUGAGCCUGGAAGGCAGAGCUUGCAGUGAGCACAGAUUGUGCCACUAUACUCCAGCCUGGGUGACAGAGUGAGACCCUGUCUCAGAAAAAAAAAAAAAAAAAAAAAGUCAAAAGUUAGUCUCAUGAGUCUGCAAAAUCAGUAAUUUGAAUCCAUUUCAGGUUUCAAAUCAUGGUUGGUUUAGAUCCCUGUUCCUAGUGUCCUAUUUUUAUUGGAAUUUUACCAAGAGGAAAAUUGAAACAUAAAGACAGGGCUGAACACAAGGUGAGGGCUGAUGUGACAAAGGAGAAUUUCUCUUCUGGAACUCAUCUACCUGGCUCUCCACUCAAGCACCUGGCCUCUGGACAUUGCCUAAUUACCUUCUGCCAAGAUAGUGGGUAAUAAAGGAAUUUCAGGUGUUACCUUUGUAAGAGUUUAUGUAUUUUAAUGGGAUAUUAUGAAGAGAGAAAAUGGGUGCUGAGGAAUGAUUUCAGCCCCUACCCAAACAACACAGGGUAGUCACUUAGUUUUACGGCAGCGGCUAUCAUUUCUGAGACUUAAAGGCACGACUCCCUGGAGACAAUCCGGGAUAAUGUGACUUCUCAACUCACGCAUAUGAAAUACAGUCAGUGUGGGAGUGAGUCCUGGAGCCAUGACAGCAAGAGGCCAGCCUCUAAGAGAUGAUCCGUACCUUGCUUUUCGGUCUUUAAUAACUUGAGAUAUUGCUGCCAGCUACUUAACCAAGCUCUGCAACUGCUGUAAUGAGAAAGUGAUGACCUUUGGACUUACAAAGUCCUGCACUCAAGUCCCCCAUGUCCAAAUUUGCCACUUCCUGGAUGUGUGGCCCAGGUCAGCCUACUUAAUCUUGCUGAUAUUCCAGUUUUUCAUCAGGAACAAGGCUGAUCAUAAUACUACCUUGAAGGAUUGCUGUGAGGACUAGCUAGAGGGAUUGUGUGAGAGUCCCUUGCCCAAUGUCUGGAACACAGCUGGGCGCAGUGGCUCACGCCCGUAAUCCCAGCACUUUGGGACGCCGAGGUGGGUGGAUCAUGAGAUCAGGAGUUCGAGACCAGCCUGGCCAACAUGGUGAAACCCGUCCUGAAUAAAAAUACAAAAACUAGCCAGGCGUGGUGGCACACGCCUGUAAUCCCAGCUACUCUGGAGGCUGAAGCAGGAGAAUCACUUGAACCUGGGAGGCGAACUUUGCAGUGAGCUGAGAUUGUGCCACUGCACUCCAGCCUGGGCGACAGAGCAAGACUCCAUCUCGAAAAAAUAUAAAUAAAUAAAUAAAUAAAGUAUUGCAUUAAAAUAGUC